AGGUAAGUACUUCGUACUUAUGCUGACGAGUGGCGGACGGGUGAGUAAAGCUUGGGAAUCUGGCUUAUGGAGGGGGAUAACUACGGGAAACUGUAGCUAAUACCGCGUAAUAUCUUUGGAUUAAAGGGUGGGACUUUCGGGCCACCUGCCAUAAGAUGAGCCCAAGUGGGAUUAGGUAGUUGGUUAGGUAAAGGCUGACCAAGCCGACGAUCUCUAGCUGGUCUGAGAGGAUGACCAGCCACACUGGAACUGAGACACGGUCCAGACUCCUACGGGAGGCAGCAGUGGGGAAUAUUGCACAAUGGGGGGAACCCUGAUGCAGCCAUGCCGCGUGAAUGUAGAAGGCCUUCGGGUUGUAAAGUUCUUUCGGUAGCGAGGAAGGCAUAUAGUUUAAUAGACUAUAUGAUUGACGUUAACUACAGAAGAAGCACCGGCUAACUCCGUGCCAGCAGCCGCGGUAAUACGGGGGGUGCGAGCGUUAAUCGGAAUAACUGGGCGUAAAGGGCACGCAGGCGGUGACUUAAGUGAGAUGUGAAAGCCCCGAGCUUAACCUGGGAAUUGCAUUUCAUACUGGGUCGCUAGAGCACUUUAGGGAGGGGUAGAAUUCCACGUGUAGCGGUGAAAUGCGUAGAGAUGUGGAGGAAUACCGAAGGCGAAGGCAGCCCCUUGGGAAUGUACUGACGCUCAUGUGCGAAAGCGUGGGGAGCAAACAGGAUUAGAUACCCUGGUAGUCCACGCUGUAAACGAUGUCGAUUUGGGGAUUGGGCUUUAAGCUUGGUGCCCGUAGCU
rnacentral:rRNA from 1 species